CUACGUAGGGGGCGAGCGUUGUCCGGAAUGAUUGGGCGUAAAGGGCGCGUAGGCGGCGCGGUAAGUCUGGAGUGAAAGUCCUGCUUUCAAGGUGGGAAUUGCUUUGGAUACUGCCGCGCUUGAGUGCAGGAGAGGUUAUCGGAAUUCCCGGUGUAGCGGUGAAAUGCGUAGAGAUCGGGAGGAACACCAGUGGCGAAGGCGGGUAACUGGACUGCAACUGACGCUGAUGCGCGAAAGUGUGGGGAGCAAACAGGAUUAGAUACCCUGGUAGUCCACACUGUAAACGAUGAAUGCUAGGUGUAAGAGGUAUCGACCCCUUUUGUGCCGGAGUCAACACAAUAAGCAUUCCGCCUGGGGAGUACGGCCGCAAGGUUGAAACUUAAAUGAAUUGGCGGGG
rnacentral:rRNA from 1 species